rnacentral:misc_RNA from 1 species
GAUGAAGAACGCAGCGAAAUGCGAUAAGUAAUGUGAAUUGCAGAAUUCAGUGAAUCAUCGAGUCUUUGAACGCACAUUGCGCCCCCUGGUAUUCCGGGGGGCAUGCCUGUCCGAGCGUCAUUGCCGCCCUCAAGCACGGCUUGUGUGUUGGGCCCCCGCCCCCCGGCUUCGGGGGGCGGGCCCGAAAGGCAGCGGCGGCACCGCGUCCGGUCCUCGAGCGUAUGGGGCUUCGUCACCCGCUCUGUAGGCCCGGCCGGCGCCCGCCGGCGACCCCAAUCAAUCUUUCCAGGUUGACCUCGGAUCAGGUAGGGAUACCCGCUGAACUUAAGCAUACAAUAAGCGGAGGA